rnacentral:rRNA from 1 species
AAAGCUCAAAUUUAAAAUCUGGCGGUCUCUGGCUGUCCGAGUUGUAAUCUAGAGAAGUGUUGCCCGCGCUGGACCGUGUACAAGUCUCCUGGAAUGGAGCGUCAUAGAGGGUGAGAAUCCCGUCUUUGACACGGACUACCAGGGCUUUGUGGUACGCUCUCAAAGAGUCGAGUUGUUUGGGAAUGCAGCUCAAAAUGGGUGGUAAAUUCCAUCUAAAGCUAAAUAUUGGCGAGAGACCGAUAGCGAACAAGUACCGUGAGGGAAAGAUGAAAAGAACUUUGGAAAGAGAGUUAAACAGUACGUGAAAUUGCUGAAAGGGAAACGCUUGAAGUCAGUCGCGUUGGCCGGGGAUCAGCCUCGCUCUUUUGCGUGGUGUACUUUCCGGUCGACGGGUCAGCAUCAAUUUUGAUCGCUGGAAAAAGGCCUGAGGAAUGUGGCAGCUCCGGCUGUGUUAUAGCUUCUGGUCACAUCAGCGGUGGAUUGAGGAACUCACACGCCGCAAGGCCGGGUUUCGACCACGUUCGUGCUUAGGAUGCUGGCAUAAUGGCUUUAAGCGACCCGUCUUGAAACACGGACCAAGGAGUCUAACAUGCCUGCGAGUGUUUGGGUGGAAAACCCGAGCGCGUAAUGAAAGUGAAAGUUGAGAUCCCUGUCGCGGGGAGCAUCGACGCCCGGACCAGACUUUUGGGACGGAUCCGCGGUAGAGCAUGUAUGUUGGGACCCGAAAGAUGGUGAACUAUGCCUGAAUAGGGUGAAGCCAGAGGAAACUCUGGUGGAGGCUCGUAGCGAUUCUGACGUGCAAAUCGAUCGUCAAAUUUGGGUAUAGGGGCGAAAGACUAAUCGAACCAUCUAGUAGCUGG